rnacentral:rRNA from 1 species
CAGUAGCCGCGGGAAAACGUAGGGUGCAAGCGUUAAUCGGAAUUACUGGGCGUAAAGCGUGCGCAGGCGGUUAUAUAAGUCAGAUGUGAAAUCCCCGGGCUAACCUGGGAACUGCAUUUGAGACUGUAUGGCUAGAGUGUGUCAGAGGGGGGUAGAAUUCCACGUGUAGCAGUGAAAUGCGUAGAUAUGUGGAGGAAUACCGAUGGCGAAGGCAGCCCCCUGGGGUAACACUGACGCUCAUGCACGAAAGCGUGGGGAGCAAACAGGAUUAGAUACCCCCGUAGUCCCUGUCUCUUAUACC